CACAGAAAUAUAUGAACAAACCUGGCUCUGUGGAGGGAAAAGGAAAACAAGAAGAAUUUCAAUGAUGAAGGCCCCAGAUGAAGGGAGUGCUCUUAAUUUCUGAGCUUUUGUGAAGUGACAUUUCCAAGUCUGUAGUCCAUUUAUUGCUAUGUUCUGGCAGACUCUCACCAGGUGUUUUUCAACGAAGCACUAAACUUCCCCUCGUCGACUCCAAAAGGAAACCUUCAGGCACGUAUACGAGUCCCUCAUUAGCACUCGUCAGUGGCAACCAUUAUGGAAAGACCUGCUCAUAACCACUGAGUGUCAAGUCCUUAAUAGCAAAGCCUGGCUCUUCAUUAACCAGUAAACUUACUGAUUUACCGAGAGAUGUCUUUGCUUUUCUUGGAAUUUUUUCACCCACGUCUUAUCCAAGUGCCAACACCAUUUCCAGAAAGUGGAAGAAAGGAGAUGCUUAGCAAUUACAUAAGAGCAAAGUCCUUCCUAAUUGUCUAAAGGAUAAAAAGUUGAACCCAAAAAUUAGGCAGGUAAGUCAUAUGGAAAAAGUUAAGUUUUCAGACAAUGUCUGUUCACCAGGUAAAAACUGAUGAAUCACUCUUGAUAA
rnacentral:lncRNA from 1 species